CCUAUAAGACUGGGAUAACUUCGGGAAACCGGGGCUAAUGCCGGAUAAUAUUUAGAACCGCAUGGUUCUAAAGUGAAAGAUGGUUUUACUAUCACUUAUAGAUGGACCCGCGCCGUAUUAGCUAGUUGGUGGGGUAAUGGCUUACCAAGGCAACGAUACGUAGCCGACCUGAGAGGGUGAUCGGCCACACUGGAACUGAGACACGGUCCAGACUCCUACGGGAGGCAGCAGUAGGGAAUCUUCCGCAAUGGGCGAAAGCCUGACGGAGCGACGCCGCGUGAGUGAUGAAGGUCUUCGGAUCGUAAAACUCUGUUAUUAGGGAAGAACAAAUGUGUAAGUAACUGUGCACGUCUUGACGGUACCUAAUCAGAAAGCCACGGCUAACUACGUGCCAGCAGCCGCGGUAAUACGUAGGUGGCAAGCGUUAUCCGGAAUUAUUGGGCGUAAAGCGCGCGUAGGCGGUUUCUUAAGUCUGAUGUGAAAGCCCACGGCUCAACCGUGGAGGGUCAUUGGAAACUGGGAAACUUGAGUGCAGAAGAGGAAAGUGGAAUUCCAUGUGUAGCGGUGAAAUGCGCAGAGAUAUGGAGGAACACCAGUGGCGAAGGCGACUUUCUGGUCUGUAACUGACGCUGAUGUGCGAAAGCGUGGGGAUCAAACAGGAUUAGAUACCCUGGUAGUCCACGCCGUAAACGAUGAGUGCUAAGUGUUAGGGGGUUUCCGCCCCUUAGUGCUGCAGCUAACGCAUUAAGCACUCCGCCUGGGGAGUACGACCGCAAGGUUGAAACUCAA
rnacentral:rRNA from 1 species